UACGGAGGGUGCAAGCGUUAUCCGGAUUUACUGGGUUUAAAGGGUGCGCAGGCGGAUAUGUAAGUCAGUGGUGAAAUCUCUAGGCUUAACCUGGAAAUUGCCAUUGAUACUAUAUGUCUUGAAUGCUGUGGAGGUAAGCGGAAUAUGUCAUGUAGCGGUGAAAUGCUUAGAGUAUGACAUAGAACACCUAUUGCGAAGGCAGCUACUACGCAGAUAUUGACGCUCAUGCACGAAAGCGUGGGGAUCAAACAGG
rnacentral:rRNA from 1 species